GUCCCGGUCUUUUUAAAGACCACAUAUUUGUUAGAAUUACGUGGCUU
rfam:Tinamus guttatus contig49052, whole genome shotgun sequence.